AAGCCCUAGGCCUACCAAAACCUAACCAUCGGAGUAUAAGACGCUGGGUGAUUUUUCGAAUCUCCAUUUUUGAAAAAAAUGCGUCUUAUAUGGCAGGAAAUACGGCAAUUCUCCCAUUUUUGUUUACCGUUGUGAAUUUAUUUGAAUUACAGUGGAACCUUGCAUCUGGCAUUAUUUUACCUUGCGAUUUCACAUAUAGUGAUAAGUUAUAAACUUUCCAAAGCCCCUCAUUUCGCGAGAUUGUAUCACAUUUAGCAAUCACUCUUUGCACAUCCGGCUUCUCGCUUGGCGGCGGCCAUUUUUAAUUGGUACUAUUGUUUACACUGCGGCACCACCGUACACGGCCCACACCACAGCUGCCUGCCUCUUCCCAUCAGUCCCCUGACUAGUUUUUGUGCUGCGCGCAUGUGUUUCGUGUCUGGCGGUAUCAGGCAGCUGGUGAUGGCAACCUUGGGAGGUGCAGCUGGUGGUGGCAACCUUGGGAGGUGCAGCUGGUGGUGGCAACCUUGGGAGGUGCAGCUGGUGGUGGCAACCUUGGGAGGUGCAGCUGGUGGUGGCAACCUUGGGAGGUGCAGCUGGUGAUGGCAACCUUGGGAGGUGCAGCUGGUGAUGGCAACCUUGGGAGGUGCAGCUGGUGAUGGCAACCUUGGGAGGUGCAGCUGGUGGUGGCAACCUUGGGAGGUGCAGCUGGUGAUGGCAACCUUGGGAGGUGCAGCUGGUGAUGGCAACCUUGGGAGGUGCAGCUGGUGAUGGCAACCUUGGGAGGUGCAGCUGGUGGUGGCAACCUUGGGAGGUGCAGCUGGUGAUGGCAACCUUGGGAGGUGCAGCUGGUGAUGGCAACCUUGGGAGGUGCAGCUGGUGAUGGCAACCUUGGGAGGUGCAGCUGGUGAUGGCAACCUUGGGAGGUGCAGCUGGUGGUGGCAACCUUGGGAGGUGCAGCUGGUGAUGGCAACCUUGGGAGGUGCAGCUGGUGGAGGCGGGCUACUUAAAAAGCCUGAUGGACCACAUGCGUGCAGCACAACAACUAUAGCCAGGGGACUGAGGGGAGGAGGCAUGCGGCUGUGGUGUGGCUGCGUACGGUGACGCUGUGGCGUAAACAAUGGUACUAAUUAAAAAUGGCCGCUGCAAAGCGAAAAGCUGGAUGCGCAAAGAGCGAUUGUUGGAUGUGAUAUCCUUGGGAUAAGAGUACGGAAAGAUGGGAAAAUUAUGGUAACUUUUGGGUGAUAGAAUUCUCGUUAAUUUUCCCCCAUCUAAAAACAGUUUGCCCAGAUCUGGCAAUUUCACAUUUGGCGUGAUA